GAGUUUGAUCCUGGCUCAGAUUGAACGCUGGCGGAAUGCUUUACACAUGCAAGUCGAACGGCAGCACGGGGGCAACCCUGGUGGCGAGUGGCGAACGGGUGAGUAAUACAUCGGAACGUGCCCAGUCGUGGGGGAUAACGUAGCGAAAGCUACGCUAAUACCGCAUACGAUCUGUGGAUGAAAGCGGGGGACCGUAAGGCCUCGCGCGAUUGGAGCGGCCGAUGGCAGAUUAGGUAGUUGGUGGGGUAAAGGCCUACCAAGCCGACGAUCUGUAGCUGGUCUGAGAGGACGACCAGCCACACUGGGACUGAGACACGGCCCAGACUCCUACGGGAGGCAGCAGUGGGGAAUUUUGGACAAUGGGCGCAAGCCUGAUCCAGCCAUUCCGCGUGCAGGAUGAAGGCCCUCGGGUUGUAAACUGCUUUUGUACGGAACGAAAAGGCCUGGGUUAAUACCCUGGGCUGAUGACGGUACCGUAAGAAUAAGCACCGGCUAACUACGUGCCAGCAGCCGCGGUAAUACGUAGGGUGCGAGCGUUAAUCGGAAUUACUGGGCGUAAAGCGUGCGCAGGCGGUGAUGUAAGACAGGUGUGAAAUCCCCGGGCUUAACCUGGGAACUGCAUUUGUGACUGCAUUGCUGGAGUGCGGCAGAGGGGGAUGGAAUUCCGCGUGUAGCAGUGAAAUGCGUAGAUAUGCGGAGGAACACCGAUGGCGAAGGCAAUCCCCUGGGCCUGCACUGACGCUCAUGCACGAAAGCGUGGGGAGCAAACAGGAUUAGAUACCCUGGUAGUCCACGCCCUAAACGAUGUCAACUGGUUGUUGGUCCUUCACUGGAUCAGUAACGAAGCUAACGCGUGAAGUUGACCGCCUGGGGAGUACGGCCGCAAGGUUG
rnacentral:rRNA from 1 species